GUCAUUGUGGGGGAGGGGUUGGGCCAGCCAGGGCAGGCAGGGACAGCCCCUCUGAUGAGGAGGCCACUGGGCUGAGACCAAUGAAUGAGAUGGAGCCAGCCACGUGGUGAGCCAGAAGAGGGCAUCACAGGUCCAUGAAAUGGGCUCCCGAAGUCCAACCUCACAGACCCCAUAGGAAAGCAGAUGGAAUCUCCAAGGGCACCAGCUAUACAUGGUGGUGGAAGGACCAACGCAUGCUCUGAAUGCCACUGCGGACCACAGGGCUUGAGUCUGGGGGAGCCUGGCUGCCCAGAGGUGGCAGAUGACAUGAAGAAAUAACCAUGUAAGGGCUGGCUGUGUAUGAGAGCAAGCAUUGGGAAGGAUGAAUGCCAACUAUGUUCCAGGAACUUCCACUGUUCUCACACACCCAGGUGAGUGGUGUUCAGGUGGGUGGCACCCAGGUGAGUGACAUCCCAGUUGAGUGGCACCCAGGUGAGUAGCAUCCAGGUGAGUGACACCUAGGUGAGUGACAUUCAGGUUAGUGGCGUCUGUGUGAGUGGCAUCAUCCAGGUGAGUA
rnacentral:lncRNA from 10 species